AUUGAACGCUGGCGGCAGGCCUAACACAUGCAAGUCGAGCGGAUGACGGGAGCUUGCUCCUUGAUUCAGCGGCGGACGGGUGAGUAAUGCCUAGGAAUCUGCCUGGUAGUGGGGGACAACGUUUCGAAAGGAACGCUAAUACCGCAUACGUCCUACGGGAGAAAGCAGGGGGACCUUCGGGCCUUGCGCUAUCAGAUGAG
rnacentral:rRNA from 1 species